rnacentral:rRNA from 1 species
GCCCAACAGCUAGCCCCUCCAGCCAAAACCAACAACCCCACAUAAAUACCCCCUAACACCCUUAACCCACCCCAAACAAACCAUUUUUCCCCCUUAGUAUAGGCGAUAGAAAAGGAACUGAGGAGCAACAGAAAAAGUACCGUAAGGGAAAGCUGAAAGAGAAAUGAAACAACCCAGUAAAGCACAUAAAAGCAGAGACUAACCCUCGUA